CUUUAAUAAACUUUCGUUUUCUUUGUUCUAUGUUUGCUAAUGUGUUUUAUUUUGACUUUUUCAGAUGAUGCGUCAGUUACAUGCAGUAUAUGGAAAAUGGUUGUUGAAAGAUGGAUGUUGGAAUAUACAAGUUAACAAAAACUCUCUUAGUGGCAACAUGUCGUGUUAGUGGUUGUCAAUGGAAGGUCAGAGCAAGUUUGAAACAUGGGACUAAAACGUUUUGGGUAACCAAGUUUUACUAAAUUUGACCAAGUUUUUUAACACAAACUUGUAAAAGAUGUGAUAUGCUUUGACUAGUUACUAUUGUUUGUUUCUAUCUCUUAAGUAUUAUUGUUAUAGACACCAAUGAUGAUUAUUAUUAUGAGUUGGAAGAAAGGUUAAAAUGCUUCUUAAAAUGUUAUAUCAAUAUGAGGCUACCAACAUUCUUGUUUAUUAAGAUGAGAAGAAGACCAUUAGGGUUUAUUAUUGCAUAUGGGAGAUCCAAAGAUAAGUAAAAGGCUAUUGAAGUAUAUUAUUUCAUUGAUUUGUAAAUGUGUAAACACAUUGUUAGCACAUAUAUUACAUCUUGGGAAACAUUAUUACUGAUUUUAUAAAAAAUUCACAAAUAAAAGAGUAGACAUGCAAAUCACAAAACAUACCACAAACAAAACUAUUAUAGAUCAUUCCUCUAUAAAGACAAGUUUGGACUCCACUUGAUAUGGAAGAAGACUUCAUGGAAGUGUCUGGAAGACUUCAUAGAAGUCGUUUGGAAGACUUCCUAGAAGUCGUCUGGAAGAUUUCCUGGAAGUCGUCUAGCGCAUUGUAUUUUAGACGACUAAAAGGUAAGUCGUCCUAGAAGUCUUCCAGAUCUGAAAAACCUGCAUAUCAAAUCCAGAUCUGAAAAUCCUGCAUAUCAAAAAACGUUCAAAUGAUUUAAAAACAGAGAAAAUGAGUGGAAGAUUAGAUAAAUCUACAUUUAUAGAACACACAAAAAUACAUAUAAAAUUAAUAGAUCUACCUUUAAAUGAGUGGAAGAGGAGAACCAUCUGAUUAAAAACCUGCAAAAAAGAUAGAUUAGUAAGAAAGAUAUGAGACAAAACUGAAAAAUUCAUAUAAAGUUUGGUGUUUUCAAUUCAAAGAGAUUAGAGAGAGGUUGAAGAGUUUUAGAAUGAUGAACAUUACAUUUUUGUUACAGCCAUUUGAGAGAAUGAAAGAGAAUGUGUAAUGUUUUCUUUAUAUAGGGAGACAAAAAAUCCAUUUAAGUUAAAUAUUUUUGAUUGAGACGACUUCCUAGACGACUUACUUGUAAGUCACCCAGAAGAAUUUAACAUUUUUAGCUGUAAACUAAAUAAUUUUAGCGGGAAACUAAAAUAGAAGACUUUCUAGACGAGGUCUGGUUUAAAUUAUUUAAGCGGGAAAUUGUUUUAAAAAAAUUUUAGGCGGGAAUAUUCGGACGACUGAAAUAUAAGUCGUCUGGGUAAAAUUAUUCACCAAACGACUGAAAUAUAAGUCGUCCACACCCUAAACAUAACCCCUAAACUUAAUUAUCUAAUUAAACACUUCAUAAAAUCAAAUCAAACUUGAAAAAAAUUUUACUACUAGUUGGUGUCCCGCACCUUGUGCAGAUUAAUAUAUUUAAAAAUUUUAAAUUCUAACUUUUAUUUUUAUAAAAUAAUAAAAAUUCAAUUAGAUAAAAAUUUAAAUUAUUAUAAAAUAUAAAAUUUUAAUAUUCAUAUUGGUAAUCAAUGUAUUAAAUUAUGCUCUUUUGUUUCAUAUUUUUAUUUAUAAGAUGUAUAUUUUAGAUCAAAAUCUUUUCUAUAGUAAUAAUUAAAUUACGAAAUUUGUAUUGAAAUUAACAUAUAUUGUAUUUUGACUGAAAAGAAAUCAUGUGGUACUGAAAGGAUGAUAAAAAUCACAAAUAUAAAAGAUUAACAAAAUAAAGAUAGUUUAGAAGUGUUCAAUCUGGUAAAACCGAACUAUUUAAAACCAAACCAAACUGAAAUAAAGAAAGUAAUUUGGAUUUAGUUCUACUGAAUAAACCAAAUGGAUGUUAUUUUAAGAAAGUGAAGUAUAUGAAUAUGGUUCAAUAUAUUAAGCAAUCAAACCGAAUAAACCAAUGAAACCGAUUAAUUCAGAUAUAUUAGUAUACUUAUAUAUAACUUUUUUUAAUAAUCUGUAUUUGAUCAAUAAUUCCAAUAAAAAAUCAGAGAAAUUGGCUAUAAUAUUAGUCAUUAAAAUUAUAAAAUUAAUAUAAGAUAAAAGUAAUGAUGAUAUUAUCGCUAGAUAUUGUUAAUAUCUAUUCAUAAUAAUUAUAUAUUAAAUAUACAUUUAAAAAUAAUACUUGUAUAUAUAUCGUUUCAAUAGUUAAAUAUUUAUUAAUUAUAUUAAAUAUCAUGAUAAAUAUAUAUAUAUAUAUCAAAAUAAAAAUUUAAAUAAUAAUAUUAAGUAAAUUAAUGAUGUAUCCUAAGAUUAUGAAAAAGAUACAAGUAAAUAAAUUAACUAAAAUCUUGGAAAAUAUGACAAAUCAGUAAAAUAUCUUAAAAUUAUGGAAAAAGACAAAAUAAGCAAAUUAACUAAAAUCAUGGAGAAGAUGACAAAUCAGCAAAUUCACUUCUCAAAUAAUAGUAUAGAUACACAAAAAUAAACACA